UACCAGCACCCCGAGUGGUCGGGACGAUUAUUGGGCCUAAAGCAUCCGUAGCCGGUUCUACAAGUCUUCCGUUAAAUCCACCUGCUUAACAGAUGGGCUGCGGAGGAUACUAUGGAGCUAGGAGGCGGGAGAGGCAAGCGGUACUUAGUGGGUAGGGGUAAAAUCCGUUGAUCCAUUGAAGACCACCAGUGGCGAAGGCGGCUUGCCAGAACGCACGUCGAC
rnacentral:rRNA from 1 species